rnacentral:rRNA from 1 species
GACGAAGGAUGCAAGCGUUAUCCGGAUUCAUUGGGUUUAAAGGGAGCGUAGGUGGCUUUGUAAGUCAGUGGUGAAAUCUGGCAGCUUAACUGUUAAAUUGCCAUUGAUACUGCAGAGCUUGAGUACAGAUGCCGUUGGCGGAAUAUGACAUGUAGUGGUGAAAUACAUAGAGAUGUCAUAGAACACCGAUUGCGAAGGCAGCUGACGAAACUGUAACUGACACUGAGGCUCGAAAGUGUGGGGAUCAAACAGG